UGGGGAAUAUUGGGCAAUGGGCGCAAGCCUGACCCAGCCACGCCGCGUGAGUGAUGAAGGCCUUCGGGUCGUAAAUCUCUGUGGGGGGGGACGAAUAAGCCUGCCGUGAACAAUGGCGGGCCUUGACGGUACCCCCUUAGCAAGCACCGGCUAACUCCGUGCCAGCAGCCGCGGUAAUACGGAGGGUGCAAACGUUGCUCGGAAUCAUUGGGCGUAAAGCGUGUGUAGGCGGCCCGGUUUGUCGGACGUGAAAUCCCUCGGCUCAACCGAGGAAGUGCAUCCGAAACGGCCGGGCUUGAAUACUGGAGAGGAUGACGGAAUUCCCGGUGUAGUGGUGAAAUACGUAGAUAUCGGGAGGAACACCGGUGGCGAAGGCGGUCAUCUGGACAGAUAUUGACGC
rnacentral:rRNA from 1 species